rnacentral:lncRNA from 1 species
UUGUUAGGUCCAAUCAGACGUAGAAGGGGGGGGUUGAAUACGUCGUACCAAUUUCUUCGAUUUAAUUUAAUUGCGGAUAAUCUGUUUCAGUCCAUGUUAAAUCAAUCGUAAAUAAAUAACUCCAGCAAGUCGGGGAAUAUUCUUGUAUUAGAAAUAAUCCUCGGGUGCUACAAAUUCCAACACAAGUGUCGGCUGCAGAGACUACAAUCACUCUAUUACAAACUCUCGAUAAAUAUGAUCUUCUAAUUUAACUCUCGAGAAUGUGUAUAGUGUGUGCACUUACAAAGUGUGUAGUUAGUUUCAAAUGAAA